CCCCUGUGAACAUACCACUUGUUGCCUCGGCGGAUCAGCCCGCUCCCGGUAAAACGGGACGGCCCGCCAGAGGACCCCUAAACUCUGUUUCUAUAUGUAACUUCUGAGUAAAACCAUAAAUAAAUCAAAACUUUCAACAACGGAUCUCUUGGUUCUGGCAUCGAUGAAGAACGCAGCAAAAUGCGAUAAGUAAUGUGAAUUGCAGAAUUCAGUGAAUCAUCGAAUCUUUGAACGCACAUUGCGCCCGCCAGUAUUCUGGCGGGCAUGCCUGUUCGAGCGUCAUUUCAACCCUCAAGCACAGCUUGGUGUUGGGACUCGCGUUAAUUCGCGUUCCUCAAAUUGAUUGGCGGUCACGUCGAGCUUCCAUAGCGUAGUAGUAAAACCCUCGUUACUGGUAAUCGUCGCGGCCACGCCGUUAAACCCCAACUUCUGAAUGUUGACCUCGGAUCAGGUAGGAAUACCCGCUGAACUUAA
rnacentral:rRNA from 1 species